rnacentral:rRNA from 1 species
AUUGAACGCUGGCGGAAUGCUUUGCACAUGCAAGUCGAACGGCAGCACGGGUGCUUGCACCUGGUGGCGAGCGGCGAACGGGUGAGUAAUACAUCGGAACGUACCCAGUCGUGGGGGAUAACGUAGCGAAAGUUACGCUAAUACCGCAUACGUCCUGAGGGAGAAAGCGGGGGACCGUAAGGCCUCGCGCGAUUGGAGCGGCCGAUGUCUGAUUAGCUAGUUGGUGAGGUAAAGGCUCACCAAGGCGACGAUCAGUAGCUGGUCUGAGAGGAUGAUCAGCCACACUGGAACUGAGACACGGUCCAGACUCCUACGGGAGGCAGCAGUGGGGAAUUUUGGACAAUGGGCGAAAGCCUGAUCCAGCCAUUCCGCGUGAGUGAAGAAGGCCUUCGGGUUGUAAAGCUCUUUCGGCAGGAACGAAACGCUCUAGAUUAAUACUCUGGGGUAAUGACGGUACCUGAAGAAGAAGCACCGGCUAACUACGUGCCAGCCGCCGCGGUAA